UACGGGGGGGGCAAGCGUUGUUCGGAAUUACUGGGCGUAAAGGGCUCGUAGGUGGCCAACUAAGUCAGACGUGAAAUCCCUCGGCUUAACCGGGGAACUGCGUCUGAUACUGGAUGGCUUGAGUUUGGGAGAGGGACGCGGAAUUCCAGGUGUAGCGGUGAAAUGCGUAGAUAUCUGGAGGACCCCCGGUGGCGAAGGCGGCGUCCUGGACCAACACUGACACUGAGGAGCGAAAGCCAGGGGAGCAAACGGG
rnacentral:rRNA from 1 species